rnacentral:rRNA from 1 species
CGCGUAGGCGGUCCGCUAAGUUGGAUGUGAAAACUCUGGGCUUAACCCAGAGCCUGCAUUCAAAACUGACAGGCUAGAGUUCUGGAGGGGGUAGCGGAAUUCCUGGUGUAGCGGUGAAAUGCGUAGAUAUCAGGAGGAACACCGGUGGCGAAGGCGGCUACCUGGACAGAAACUGACGCUGAGGCGCGAAAGCUAGGGGAGCAAACA